rnacentral:rRNA from 1 species
GUGGGGAAUAUUGGACAAUGGGCGCAAGCCUGAUCCAGCCAUGCCGCGUGAGUGAUGAAGGCCUUAGGGUUGUAAAGCUCUUUCAGUGGGGACGAUAAUGACGGUACCCACAGAAGAAGCCCCGGCUAACUUCGUGCCAGCAGCCGCGGUAAUACGAAGGGGGCUAGCGUUGUUCGGAUUUACUGGGCGUAAAGCGCACGUAGGCGGAUCGUUAAGUCGGGGGUAAAAUCCUGGAGCUCAACUCCAGAACUGCCUUCGAUACUGGCGAUCAUGAGUCCGGAAGAGGUGGGUGGAACUACUAGUGUAGAGGUGGAAUUCGUAGAUAUUAGGAAGAACACCAGUGGCGAAGGCGGCUCACUGGUCCGGUACUGACGCUGAGGUGCGAAAGCGUGGGGAGCAAACAGGAUUAGAAACCCCGGUAGUCC